AGAACAUCUCCCUGUGUUUUGCUGGAAUGUUGCAGAACAUUUAGCUAAAAGAGCGGCUUAACAAAAUUUUUAGAAUCUAUCAUAUCUUGUAAUAGUGAAAAACUUGAAGAUGGAAUGACUAAUCAAUCACCGAGGUUUCGCUGGUAGAGGAACUGUUAUGGUGUCGCUUCCUAACAUUGCAACCACUGUUGACAUAGUCGGUCUGUCUGCCGGAUCUGAUUGCACGCACAAUAACCCAAUUUGGAUGCAUUUAAGCACCUCUGUUGAGGUUAGUUCCCAUGCCAGGUGCUGAUCAACAAAGGUGGCCAUGCAAGAGGAAAGUCAGCAUGCAGUCGAGCCAUGGUGUGCAGCAGCUGAAGCUCAAAGUUCUGAUCUAGUUGCCACAUUUAGUUGUUCCUUAAUCCUUUUGUAAUCUACUUCAUUUUGAACUUAGUAGGUAGAUGUUUUGAUGUUGAUUGACUAAAAAUCAGUAAAGCUAUUAUGCAAGCUAAUCUUGUAAGUUUCAAUGCAUAUUAGUGGUGUUCGGUAGUUGAUUAGGUGAUAACUUGUUUGUUUUACAAGUUAGCUGGUAUAUGUAAUGGCUUAAGGCCUUAUUCUCAAGUUAAUGAAAAAUUUCAGGUUGUUUUUCAUUCAAA